UCGACGUGAGAGAGACACAUCAAUUGCUUGCCUCUUGCAUGCGCCCGGACCAGGGGACCAGGGCUGGGGAUCAAAUCUGCAUGCCCUUGAUCGGGAAUCUAACUGGAAACCCUUCAGCAUGAGGGGUGAUGCUUUAACCACUGAACACACUGGCCAAGGGACACGAUACCUGAAAGACAUUUGAUGAAGCCAGAAAAGGAUGCUGACAAGCAAGAAUAUUUAAGUUGAAAUCAAGACCUUUCUUCUCCUGGGUGGAGGCUCCCAGAUACAAAAGGUCCUAGGACGAGCUCAGAAGUUUACCACUUUUCAAAAUGCCUGUUGUUCAGGGAAGAUGGACCAGUGAAAGGAUGGACUGUCUGUGGCUGAAUAUCUGGGAAUCCCUGCCUGUGACUCAGGUAUCUCCACCCCCUUUGUAAUGACAUCCAUCAUUUUGGAUAGAUGGGGUUUGACAGCUGUGUAGUCCCCAAAACUCACAUUGUCAGUGCAACUACAGUGACCAGGCUUUCAGGAAUGGAUUCAUGCUAGCCAGACUCACCGAAGACUCUUAAGUGAACGGCAUGACCACUCACAUGGGGACAUUCUUCUCCAGUGACCAAGGACGCGUGGCUAUGUUCUCCAGGACCCUCGCUGCUCAAUCCUGGGUACCUGGGAACACUCCUAGUGCCCAGGAAGUUGUUUGGCGAUCUCACAAUCACAACAGAGAAAGGGAUGGUGUUAUGGGUUGAAUUGUGUCCCCUCCCAAUUCACAUGUCGAAGUCCUAACUCCUAACACCUCAGGAUGUGACCUAUUUGGAAACAGAUUCAUUGCAGAUGUACUUUGUUAAGAUUAAGAGUAGAGUGGCUCUUAAUCCAGUAUGACUGGUGUCCUUGUAAAAAAAGGAAAAUUUGUACACAGAUGCACACAUAGAGGGAAGACGUCAUGUGAGGAUGAAGGCAGAGAUCGGCAUGAUGCAUCUUUAAGCCAAGGAACCCCAAGGAUUUGCCAGCACAUCCCCAGAAGCCAGAAGAGGGGCACAGAAUGAAUUCCCCCUCGCUGCCCAGCCCGCACCCAGAAGGAAUCAAUCCUGCCAGCUCCUUGAGACGUCUAGCCUCCAGCACUUUGAGACAAUAAGUAGUUUAAACCAGCUGGUUGCUUUAACUUUUUAAGGCAGCCCUAACAAACUAAUACUAGUUGCAGAGCUUGACAAAUCACCUCCCAACCCUGGCUAGGGGCCAGAUUGUCUGUCAUCCCUAGGUCUAGUCUCCAUCCCUUGGACAGUGCUGGGAACACACUCCCCACAUGUUGGUCUUUGGGUUUCCUUCUUCUAAAUGUGAGAACAUCUUUCCUCUUCUAUUUAUACAUUCUUCCUUCUGUUCGCUUAAUACCACUCAUUAUAUCUCAGUUCUCUUUGUCAUGGUAUAGUCGUGUUUCCUAUUACACCUGUGUUGAGCCUGCUGAGCAUUCUGCAAACUAUUCUCAGUUUUAGUGAUUAGAAGAAUCACCUGGGCCUGCUGAUUAAAAAGAUAAAAAUAAAAAAGAACAAGAAAGAAAGAAAUAUUUUUGGAAGCAGAUUGAUUACCCCACCCCUCAAAAUUUUGAUUUGUAGUUUUGUGAUGGGACCCAGGAAUAAUUAUA